UGGGGAAUUUUGCGCAAUGGACGAAAGUCUGACGCAGCAACGCCGCGUGGGUGAUGAAGGUCUUCGGACUGUAAAACCCUGUCGUCAGGGACGAAGGUGUGCAUGUUAAUAGCGUGUGCACUUGACGGUACCUGGAGAGGAAGCCCCGGCUAACUCUGUGCCAGCAGCCGCGGUAAUACAGAGGGGGCAAGCGUUAUUCGGAAUUAUUGGGCGUAAAGAGCGUGUAGGCGGCUGGAUUAGUCAGAUGUGAAAGCCCUGGGCUUAACCCAGGAAGUGCAUUUGAAACUGUCCGGCUUGAGUAAGGGAGAGGAAAGUGGAAUUCCUGGUGUAGAGGUGAAAUUCGUAGAUAUCGUGAGGAAGACCAGUGGCGAAGGCGAAUCUCUGGGCAUUACCUGACGCUCAUGCACGAAGGCCAGGGGAGCAAACGGG
rnacentral:rRNA from 1 species